ensembl:ncRNA K02F2.8 ncRNA
CAGCAGACACAUUGGCCACGCCUUCUUUUCAAUAUCGUUGAGUGCUCUUGGCUUUUUGCGCAUGUGUGCUCUACACGACGCCUUCUAGAGCCAAAAGAUUAGAGGAUUAGAGAAACGAGACAAUAUUGAAGAA